rnacentral:rRNA from 1 species
CCUGAGAAACCCAAAAGAUCGAAUGGGGAGAUUCAUCGUCAGCUCAUUUUGUAUAUGUAUCAGUUAUGAUGUGGGUUACUACUUGUAGUAUUGCUUGCACAUUCUAAUACAUUUAGUUGCAAGAUGUUGUCGGCGUGCACUUCUCCCCUAGUAGGACGUCGCGACCCGUUGGGUGUCGGUCUACGGCCCGAGUGGUUGUCUUUAAUAUUUUAUUAUAUUAAAGUCCCUUGGUGUUUUCUGACCGGCUACUCGGCGGUACACGUACGGUAUUAAGCCGCAAUUUUAUUUGCGUCCAUUCCCGUCGCAAGCGAGGCCAAUUUCUGAUAGUACGGACCUAGUGCCGUCGUUGGUAUUGGCCAGCUGUUGGCUGUUACGGUGUUCUAGGACUGGCUUAAAUUGUGAUUACCGGUCGGCGAUGCUACUGCUUUGGGUACUUUCAGG